AACCCUACCAAGGCAAAACAGCUGCCUCUGGCCCACACUCCAGUUUUCCCCAUUCUCCACAACUGCAGGGGUUAUCCCAUUUGAUUAUAGUCUUGUCGAAGAUAUCCUUACCUACAGGCUAUGAUGUCAACAUUGUCGAUUUUGAUUGUGCCUUCCCGUGGUUCAACGAUACGGAAAAGUGCUUGGAUAAAAGUUGACUUUCCACUACCGCUCUUUGGUGGGCGGCAGUAGUCUACUACUAGAGGAG